AUUGAACGCUGGCGGCAUGCUUUACACAUGCAAGUCGAACGGUAACAGGCCUUCGGGUGCUGACGAGUGGCGAACGGGUGAGUAAUGCAUCGGAACGUGCCCAGAGGUGGGGGAUAACGCAGCGAAAGCUGUGCUAAUACCGCAUGUGAUCUGAGGAUGAAAGCGGGGGACCAGGCAGCAAUGUUUGGCCUCGCGCCUUUGGAGCGGCCGAUGUCAGAUUAGGUGGUUGGUGGGGUAAAGGCCUACCAAGCCGACGAUCUGUGGCCGGUCUGAGAGGACGACCAGCCACACUGGGACUGAGACACGGCCCAGACUCCUACGGGAGGCAGCAGUGGGGAAUUUUGGACAAAGGGCGCAAGCCUGAUCCAGCAAUGCCGCGUGCGGGAAGAAGGCCUUCGGGUUGUAAACCGCUUUUGUACGGAACGAAAAGGCUCUGGCUAAUACCUGGGGCUGAUGACGGUACCGUAAGAAUAAGCACCGGCUAACUACGUG
rnacentral:rRNA from 1 species